GUGGAUUAGUGGCGAACGGGUGAGUAACACGUGAGUAACCUGCCCUUGACUUCGGGAUAACUCCGGGAAACCGGGGCUAAUACCGGAUAUGAGCUACCUUCGCAUGGGGGUGGUUGGAAAGUUUUUCGGUCAAGGAUGGGCCUCGGCGCCCUAUUCAGGCUUGUUAGUGAGGUGAAUGGCCUACCAAGGCGACGACCGGUAGCCCGGCCUGAGAAGGCCGAACGGCCACACUGGGACUGAGACACGGCCCAGACUCCUACCGGGAGGCAGCAGUGGGGGAAUAUUGCACAAUGGGCGAAAGCCUGAUGCAGCGACGCCGCGUGAGGGAUGAAGGCCUUUCGGGUUGUAAACCUCUUUCAGCAGGGAAGAAGCGCAAGUGACGGUACCUGCAGAAGAAGCGCCGGCUAACUACGUGCCAGCAGCCGCGGUAAUACGUAGGGCGCAAGCGUUGUCCGGAAUUAUUGGGCGUAAAGAGCUCGUAGGCGGUUUGUCGCGUCUGGUGUGAAAACUCGAGGCUCAACCUCGAGCUUGCAUCGGGUACGGGCAGACUAGAGUGCGGUAGGGGAGACUGGAAUUCCUGGUGUAGCGGUGGAAUGCGCAGAUAUCAGGAGGAACACCGAUGGCGAAGGCAGGUCUCUGGGCCGCAACUGACGCUGAGGAGCGAAAGCAUGGGGAGCGAACAGGAUUAGAUACCCUGGUAGUCCAUGCCGUAAACGUUGGGCACUAGGUGUGGGGCUCAUUCCACGAGUUCCGUGCCGCAGCAAACGCAUUAAGUGCCCCGCCUGGGGAGUACGGCCGCAAGGCUAAAACUCAAAGGAAUUGACGGGGGCCCGCACAAGCGGCGGAGCAUGCGGAUUAAUUCGAUGCAACGCGAAGAACCUUACCAAGGCUUGACAUGCACGGGAAAGCCACCAGAGAUGGUGGUCUCUUUGGACACUCGUGCACAGGUGGUGCAUGGUUGUCGUCAGCUCGUGUCGUGAGAUGUUGGGUUAAGUCCCGCAACGAGCGCAACCCUCGUCCCAUGUUGCCAGCGGGUUAUGCCGGGGACUCAUGGGAGACUGCCGGGGUCAACUCGGAGGAAGGUGGGGAUGACGUCAAAUCAUCAUGCCCAUUAUGGUCUUGGGCUUUCACGCAUGCUACAAUGGCCGGUACAAAGGCCUGCGAUACCGUAAUGGUGGGAGCGAAUCCCAAAGAAGCCGGUCUCAGUUCGGAUUGGGGUCUGCAACUCGACCCCAUGAAGUCGGAGUCGCUAGUAAUCGCAGAUCAGCAACGCUGCGGUGAAUACGUUCCCGGGCCUUGUACACACCGCCCGUCAAGUCACGAAAGUCGGUAACACCCGAAGC
rnacentral:rRNA from 1 species